rnacentral:rRNA from 1 species
GGAGGAAUAUUGGUCAAUGGGCGGAAGCCUGAACCAGCCAUGCCGCGUGAAGGAAUAAGGCCCUAUGGGUCGUAAACUUCUUUUGGCGGGGAGCAAUAAGGUCUACGUGUAGACCGAUGAGAGUACUCGUUGAAUAAGCAUCGGCUAACUCCGUGCCAGCAGCCGCGGUAAUGCGGAGGAUGCGAGCGUUAUCCGGAUUUAUUGGGUUUAAAGGGUGCGUAGGCUGUUUGUCAAGUCAGAGGUGAAAGGCCGCAGCUCAACUGUGGAAUUGCCUUUGAUACUGGCAGGCUUGAAUACUGUUGCCGUGGGAGGAAUGAGUAGUGUAGCGGUGAAAUGCAUAGAUAUUACUCAGAACACCGAUUGCGAAGGCAUCUCACGAAUCCGUCAUUGACGCUGAGGCACGAAAGCGUGGGGAUCAAACAGGAUUAGAUACCCUGGUAGU